GUUCCUGUAGCUCAAUUGAUAGGGCUUUGGACUUCUAAUCCAAAGGUCAUGGGUUCGAACCCCACCUGGGAUG